CAAUAGCGUAUAUUAAAGUUGUUGCAGUUAAAAAGCUCGUAGUUGGAAUUCGGGAUGGGAAUGGCGGUCUGCCUAACGGUAUGUACCGCCACUGCCCAUUCUUCCUUUCGUAGACCCUGUCUGUCCUUAACUGGAUGGGCAGUGGGAUGCGGAUCUUUUACUUUGAAUAAAUUAGAGUGUUCAAAGCAGGCCUUUGCUUGAAUAUACUAGCAUGGAAUAAUGGAAUAGGACUUUGGUUCUAUUUUGUUGGUUUCUAGGACCGAAGUAAUGAUUAAUAGGGAUAGUUGGGGGCAUUAAUAUUUAGUUGUCAGAGGUGAAAUUCUUGGAUUUACGAAAGAUUAACUUCUGCGAAAGCAUUUGCCAAGGAUGUUUUCAUUA
rnacentral:rRNA from 1 species